UUGAUGAAAGGUAUCUCUGUGGUAUGAGAGGCUGAUGCUGAUGCUGAUGCUGAUGCUGCUGAGCGCCCACAGCCAGUCCCCUGGGAGCUCUAAUUAAGAUGAUUUUAUCCAAAGCAACUUACAAGUGAAGCAACUUGGGCUCCAGUGUCUCACCCAAAGAUACUACAGAACGUGGAGAGGAGGAGCUGGGAGUUGAACCGCCAACUUUGCAAUCAGCAGACAACCUGCUCUACCACCUGAGCUGCAAAACAUACUUUCCUUUUUAGGGAAGGGACACAAUGUGGACAAUAACUUAUGGCUCACUUUCAAAUAUUUCAUAGACUUUAAAUGUAAUAAUAAUAAAAGAGUGAUAAAAGUGACAGGAUAUGAAUAAAAAUAAUAAAAUAUAAAGAAAAGAAGAAACCUAAGAGUGAAGAAUAUACUUGAAACCUUGAAAAUAUGAUGGACAAGAAUAUAUACAUUCAUCCUGUCAGACAGCCCUGGUUUGUUGGCAAUAAAGUGCUCACCUCUGGAGCUUCUCUUUA